UACGUAGGGUGCAAGCGUUGUCCGGAAUUAUUGGGCGUAAAGAGCUCGUAGGCGGUCUGUCGCGUCUGGUGUGAAAACUCAGGGCUUAACCCUGAGCUUGCAUCGGGUACGGGCAGACUAGAGUGCGGUAGGGGAGACUGGAAUUCCUGGUGUAGCGGUGAAAUGCGCAGAUAUCAGGAGGAACACCGGUGGCGAAGGCGCCACUCUGGGCCGGAACUGACGCUGAGGAGCGAAAGCGUGGGUAGCAAACAGG
rnacentral:rRNA from 1 species